rnacentral:lncRNA from 1 species
GGAAGUUCGAGGUCAGGGGGACUUUUAUUUUAUAUGAGGUCCUUCCUGCUGCAACAUCCCAUGGCAGAAGGUAGAAAGGCAAGAGAGAAACCCGUGAGAAAGAAAGAAGGGAAGAGGGCCAGAACUCUUCCUUUUAUCAGGAACCCACUCCCAAGAGAGGAAAGAGCACUUGAUGAUGUCAUCAGCUGAGACAAUAGCAGAAAGGAGAGCACAUCAGUGGGCUUGAAGGUGGAGCACCGAUAGACUGCAUUUCAGCCUGCAUGAACUCUCUAAAAUAGAGAUCUGCUGUGCUUAAGAUCCUUCAAUGGUUUCUCCCAAGAUAUUGGGAUCUCUGAAGACAAGGACUGUGUCCCCAGAAACUCAUCGACUCUCUGGUGUCUCUGGGUCUACGCACAUGAUGUCUCCAAGGCCAGGUAUCAUUAUUUAUCUAAAUCUCCGGAGCCAUUGAGGACCAAGAUCAUACUUGCUGAAUAAAUGCACGGAGCAGGAUCAGAGGAUAGACACAGAAUGGGCCAAGAAGAGAAAUAUUAUUCCUCAUAAGAGCUUGCUUGAUUGCAACCACCAAGGACAUCCACAAACCAGGGCAAGAAGGACCAUCCGUAAUUCUUUCCCAUAAAUAGUGACAGGAAGAAAAUAAACGCCCUAUUCUUCAAUGAUUUGAACCACCUCUGGAGCACAAACUUUCUCUAAAUUCACAGGGCAAAUAUCCAUCAUGGGGCAGGUAUCUAUGCUGCCAUGGAAAGUAACAUAAAAUGUACUAAGUCAUCACAGGGAGUUUUAAUUUUGUUUUUAAGGUCAAUUGCCAUGCUGGGGUAAAAAGCAUUGAUCCUUGCCUUUUAUCACCGGAAAAAUUCUUCACCAGUACUUUGUGAAAAUCUCGCCUCAUCAGGGCUGCCAAGGUCAAUGCAACCUAAGUAACCAAGCUGGGAGAUGCUUGCCUAAUUAUUAAAUAUUUAGCAAACAGUUUGUGACUAUUUAACUGUUUGCACCUGGCACCCUCUUUUCACUACGUGAGGCCUCCUGGCACCCUGACCUCUUCCCCCACCCCUACCCACUGCCCAGGCCGCCAGCACCCCUGGGGGGCAAAUACCGGGACCCAAGGGCAUUUCAAAGAAACAGCAGAGGUCACAUUCCAUUUCCUUUUUAUUAAAAAACAUACUUAAAAUGGGGGAGGAGGGCACAGAUCUAAGGUAAAAUCUCUUGCAGUUUUUUCAAGUUCGCAUGCACCGUUGAAAGUUCAUUAGUUAGGGAUUUAAAAGCAAAAAUGUUUCACACAACCAAUUAAACGCCAAGCUUUACAAACGCCUUGGUCUUUGGUUUUGGGAAUCUGUAAAAGUCCGCCUCCCCCCACCCGAGUUUUGCCCCUUUUAGAGCCCCUUUGUUGAAUUACGUGACUUUUCCCGAAGUCAUCAAACUUUGAAUUGCGUCUCUAAUUUUUUUUUUCAGGGCAAAAGCAAAUCAAGAAAUUAAACUUAAAAGUAGGCGACUCGGAGAGAAGUGGGGGAAAGCUCGCCCCAAAGCCAAGUUCCGCAGGACUAAAGCCCUCUUUGCGCGCGCGGGGCGGGGGAUUGUCC